GAACUCUCCAUUUGGUCUCUCAAACACUGGUGAAGAUCCUGGAAAGCUCCUCUCGAGCCAGGAAUGCUUACUUUAGGAAGAUAUUACUGGGAGAAGAGUUAUAUAUAUAUAUAUGAACUCCCUUGGGGAAUCUAAAGAGAGGGUGGCGACCAUAGUUCAAAACUGGAGUUCAUUUGCUGAAUGAUGGGGAUGUCAUGGCCCCUGGACACCGGUAUCCAUAAAGCAUCCCCUGCAGAUAGAUGGGAAGUCAUGUGGCGUUCAUUUUGUUAUGUAUGCCCAGGCCAUAUUGACAGGGGAUGCUCUUCAGCAGAG